rnacentral:rRNA from 1 species
CCUACGGGAGGCAGCAGUAGGGAAUCUUUCACAAUGGGCGAAAGCCUGAUGGAGCAACGCCGCGUGCAGGAUGAAGGCCUUCGGGUUGUAAACUGCUUUUAUAAGCGAGAAAUAUGAUGGUAACUUAUGAAUAAGGAUCGGCUAACUACGUGCCAGCAGCCGCGGUCAUACGUAGGAUCCGAGCAUUAUCCGGAGUGACUGGGUGUAAAGAGUUGCGUAGGUGGCAUAAUAAGUAGCUAGUGAAAUCUGGUGGCUCAACCAUUCAGACUAUUAGCUAAACUGUUAAGCUCGAGACCGUUAGGGGUAAAUGGAAUUUCUAGUGUAGGAGUGAAAUCCGUAGAUAUUAGAAGGAACACCAAUAGCGUAGGCAGGUUGCUGGGACGGUUCUGACACUAAGGCACGAAAGCGUAGGGAGCAAACGGGAUUAGAUACCCGAGUAGUC